rnacentral:tRNA from 1 species
UGCGGGGUAGAGAAGCGGCCAUCUCGCCACCCUCAUAAGGUGGAAAUCGCGGGUUCGAGUCCCGCCCUUCGCAACCA